AAAUUUUCGAAUGAAAAUCAAAACUUUCAACAACGGAUCUCUUGGUUCCCGCAUCGAUGAAGAACGCAGCGAAACGCGAUAGUUAAUGUGAAUUGCAGAAUUCAGUGAAUCAUCGAGUCUUUGAACGCACAUUGCGCCCAUUGGUAUUCCUUUGGGCAUGUCUGUUUGAGCG
rnacentral:rRNA from 1 species